ACUUCAUGAGUAAUAAACAACACCACCGGGCUCUUCCUGAAACUUAGAUCCCCAUAACCAACAAGAGCAGCUGGUGUUUUCUGAGGGCCUCCCUAAAGACCCACAGCUCUGUGAUAGACAGGACCUCAUGUAUCCCCAUAUGUCCUCAUGAGCCAGGGGGAGACGGGUGGCCAAAGGGACUCUCCUCCUUAUUUUAAAGGUGGAGACACUGAAUCACAGAGGGGAGACAGGGCUUGCCAGAAGGGAGUGGCAAGGACUGAAACAGGUUGCAUUAUCUGCCAGGAUACCACAAGACCUCUCCACUCCUCACCCGUGUCCAUGAAAGAAAGAAUACAUUCCUAAGUCUCCCAAAGCAGCUGGACUGGAGGUGGCUCCACAGCAAUUGUUUAAAGAAAAAGCAGUGGCCCUGAUGGGAAGGAGCCCAAUGGCCAGGGUGAACACAGUUUGGCCAUAAUCUGCAGGCUGGCCUCCCUGUGAGCUGCCCUGCACCGAGAUAACACAGCAGGCUGUGCUGGACACAACUGGCUGCCUGUGGACUCCACCUUUCCCCCAUGCUGGGUUCCAAACACAAGAUAGCAAAGACACUGUUUGCCUAGAGAGCCUGGUUUUAACCCCAUGCUAGCUAUGGCAAGGCCCAGCUGGGGGAUUUCUCUCCUUCCCUGCUUCAGGCGGGGAAGGUCCACUGAGCAGAGAGCUUGCCGGGUGAGCCUGCCAGGUAAGAAGGCUCAUCUGCCUGCGCAGAGGGAUGUAGCUGACUACAGCCUCCUCAGAGGGUCUCCCCAGGCAGGACCUCAGGCUUGGAUUCUAGGAACCUCUUUGGAGAUAGCCCAGAUAGAUGGGCAACGUCCUGACAGUUCCUUCUAGCCCAGGCCUGGUGACUGGCUUCUGCAGAGAAUGUUAGAGCUGAAAGGACCCUAAAGAGCCACCACUCUGCAUUUUACACACGAAGAAACCAUGACCCAGAGAGACUGUGACAGAUCCAGGGCUACCAUUUGGUAAUGGCAGAGACAGACUGGUUUCCAGGAAUUCCGGAAACGUUUGCUCCACCAACCUGCACACAGAAAGUCAAAUUAAGGAGGUCCUUGGAGAAGGUCAAACAGGGAGAAUGGACUCCACUGUCACUGCCCCAAAACAAGACAAAUGCGGAUACCGAGGGGAUGGAGUACCUGGGAUUUACAACAAUACAGCAAGAUUCAAAACCUGGCUGAGACCUGGCGCAGUGGCUCACAUCUGUAAUCCCAGCACUUUAGGAGGCCAAGUGCUCCAGAUCCAGGAGUCCCGGUGUCAUGCCAUCAGCCCAGGAGUGAAAUCAACAGAGCAGUCCAUGACCGACUCAUAAUGAACAUGUAUUACAAAUGAAAAAUAACCUUUCUUAUUGUAAGCCACCAAGAUUUUAUGAUUGUUAUCACAGCAUAACCACACCCACCUUGAUGUUGUUUUUGUACACUAGUUGUGUCCAAUAAAGUUGAUUAGACAGG